rnacentral:lncRNA from 1 species
AUGAGUAUUUUUUCUGACUUAGAUCUUAAGACAUUAUUUAAGCCAUGCAAUGGCAUGGGAAUGAAUUAUUAUGGGAAGUUUAUACCCAAUAAGCUAAAAGUGGUUUUGCUCUUGUUUCCAAGGAGAAAUCUUCUUUUUGAAGAGCAUCCAGUAUCACAUCUUUCCAAGAGGUUCAAGGGAAGUAUAAUGGCAGGCGUUGCCAUGCUCUUGUGCUCGGGCCGAUGUGUGGAGAGACCCUUUAAUCUCCUCCAGAACGGAGACGUCCCAGCUUUUCCUCAGGCUUCAGACUUGUUCACAGAGCUCAGCUGUGUGUAUUCCAUCCUUGCACUUCUGAAGACAUUUGAGGAGAACUUUAUCAGCACCGUCUCUGCUUGAACACCUGAAGGAGAUCAUGGGCAUCGUUUUGGGGUUAACCUGCACUUGCAUGUACUGUCAAACAUCUGAUUUAACUUCUAAUGUGAUUGGUUCUUGUGAAAUUAUACAAAAUUGUAUGUUUUAUUUUCUACUUGGUAGUUUUAGUGUGCAUAGAAUUUUUUGUCUUAAUCAUAAACAAUUCCAAAGUUUGUUUUCUCAGAUUUCUCUUUCAUGUCCUUAAUAAACAUUAAGUUCUGGUUCUGUGAACCCAGUUUUUCUUUCAUCCACCUCUUGCUGUGACUGUAUUGAGCCGAGUCUAUCAAAGGCUGUGAAGGAGGCAGCACUCGCCUCACGCUGUACAGCCACUGAUGAGGCAGACGUUUGCCUGCACAGCUGUCUAAAUCUGAAUGGAAACGUCUACUCAGCCAAACCUGUUGCUGUGGACUCCUGGAGGAACUGAUUCUGGGAUUUGGGAAAAGAGAACAAGCUUGGAGAUGCUGAAUCAAGAUCAGCACAAAGACAGAGUUGGAUGAUUAAAGGUGGGAAAAAGCGUGCUCAGAUCAGUCAUUGCUGUUUAGAUCUUGUUCUCUGGAUUGGUUUUCUUGUUCAGUUUAUGUUGCAUUGCUAUCUGAGUUUUUCACUACAUGAUUGUAAAAUGUCAGACUGAAUAAAUCUGUAAUGUAAGACUAAUUCCUGUCAAACUUCUUACGGUCCAUGACAGAUCCCAAAUGUAAAGAUUGUCCCCAAGGUAAGUUGCAUUUUCAGUGAACAACACUGUUUUAUGCUUUUAUGUCUUUGAUGUUUUCACGGGUCCAAGUGGAGCCACAGAGUCUGAAUGUUUUAAACAAUGUAUGUUUUGUGUUAAACUUGUUGAAGCAAACAAACUAAUAUAUACAUUUCUAAUCUGCACAAUGUAAUGAC